CAGAGAAUUACCAAGACGCGUUGGUUACCUUCGGGAACUCUGAGACAGGCGCUGCAUGUCUGUCGUCAGCUCGUGUGUGAAAUGUUGGGUUAAGUCCCGCAACGAGCGCAAACCUUUAUCCUUUGUUGCCAGCGGUUCGGCCGGGAACUCAAAGGAGACUGCCAGUGAUAAACUGGAGGAAGGUGGGGAUGACUGUCAAUGUCAUCAUGGCCCUUACUGAGUAGGGCUACACACUGUGCUACAAUGGCUGCAUACAAAGAGAAGCUGACCUCGCUGAGAGCAAGCUGGACCUCAUAANUNUGCGUCGUAGUCCGGAUUGGAGUCUGCAACUCGACUCCAUGAAGUCGGAAUCGCUAGUAAUCGUAGAUCAGAAUGCUACGG
rnacentral:rRNA from 1 species